ensembl:lncRNA novel transcript
GGGACAAGAGUGACAAUAAACAAGGAAGCCAUGCGCAUGGAGAAGUAAUCACGCAUUGAGGCAAGUGCUGCAAAGGAAGACGGUGCCGUGUAAAGAAAAUAUAUAGGGUGGUGGUGCUUAAUUUCAAUAGGGGGGUUGGAGAAGUCUUCUCCGAGGGGGUGACAUUGAGGUUGAGAUUUGAUGGAUGAGAAGGAGCGAGCUAGGACAAGAGAAGAAGAGAGACAGUGUUCUCAGUGGAGGGACCUUCUUGUGCAGAGGGCGUGAGCUGGAACCAGACCAGCAGUUCCAAGGAACGGAGAAGCUGCCGUGCAGGGCUGGAGUGUGAUGAGCAAGGCAGGAACAGCACAUCAUCCGGUGAGAGAAGCAGACAGCGGCCAGGCCACACAGAGCCCUGCAGGGCACGCUGGCAGAGUUGCUUGAAAUGAAGCCGUUCCCUGAAAAGCACACAUGAAUUUCCCCUGCGGAAAAUUCAAACAGACACACUUGAGGAUUUCCACUAAAUUCUCUCUGGCCCCCAGAGCACUGGGGAAGCAUGUGAGACCUGUGCCAUCCCGGAACUGUGGCGACAAUGGUAGUUAACGUCCAUCAUCUGCAGGCACCUUCAGGAUGUGGAGCAUGCAGAGAUGACUCACGCCCACACCGGUGACCUCCAACACACCAGGGAAGGCAGGAAAAGGCUGUGUGCCAGGAUCUUGUUCUGGGCUAGAAAAGUAUGCCUGUUCGUUACCCGACCUUUGCUAAGUACACCAACUAAUGGAGCGAGAGACAUGAAAGAUCUUCACAGGCCAUGUGGAAAUGUAAUUCAAACCCAGCCCGAGGAGGUCAUAGUGUUCAGCAAGUAAACAUGGAGCCUGCUGAAGCUGGGAAUGCAAAGUGUGCAAGAAGCCUGCCUAUGGGAACCUACGGCUCAGCAGGGAGACAUGAAAUAGCUGGGAACGCCCCCUGCACAGUGUAAAGGGCGUGCUACCUUGGGAAGGGGACAGAAACAGAGGAGAGGGGGGAUCCUGGCCAGCAGGGGUGUCACAGAAGGCUUUUUAAAGGAGGGGGCCUUGGAGCUGAACUUUGAGGCCAGUGGCAUUCGAACACAUCCACGGGUCUCCCUUUCGGAUUUCAGUGCCCUCUUGGCCUUGGGCUGAUGAGCUAAGUUGCUACUGGAGAAUGACCUUUCACAGGAAAUUCAGAACCCCAGUCAUCAAUGUUUGACUACCCUGUCACCAAGUCCCUCCAUUGCCCUGGCUUGAUGUGGCUGCGAGAAGUCACCUGUUCAGGCCCCUCCUGCCUCCUCCACACACUGACCUCCCUCAGACUCAGAACAGCCGAUGCUGCCCUCUGAGGCCUGCCCCUUUGCACAGGCUUUGCCCACAUCUGGGCUCCUGGAUUCCUCAGAAGCCGGCUCCUGGGGCCUGUCCAGCAAGGCUUGGAAGCCCGGGUCCCCAAAGACCUGCUAGUUAAUGAGUUCUGCAAAAACUAGGUCUGUCUGUAAUCGAAAUGGGAGUACAAGGCUCACACGGUCCCUGAAUUAAUUCAGUCCUGUUAGAAAGGGAGCAAGGCAGAGUUUCUGCUGCUGUCUGCAGGACCCAUGGAGGGGUUCUAUGCACCAUUACUUCCAUUUGGGGACCCAUUGUUUUCCAUCACUUCAGCACAAUCUGGAAAACAUUCUCCAAGUCUAUUAUUCCUGUCUCCUGCUGCCACACUGAGGCAGUUGUUAACAAUGCCCUCUGCCCACCCCGGACCCCUCCUCCAUUUAAAUACCAGUCUGAUGGGCAAAGAGAGCAUUUAAUGACUGCUCCAGACUAAAAAGUUCCUAUUAUUUUAUUCCCUUCUUACUCCUGCCCAAUUUCCUUCCAGAUGGGGCAGGUGGGUAUAAAAUAUAUGGAGCUGGAAUUACAAUAGCAAGAAGACAGGUGGGGAAAUUGAAUGUGGUUGGAAAAUUUGUCCGUAUGCCUACAGGUGUGUCUUAUGAGAUCUUGCAGGCUACCACCACCCCCGCUACCCCAGCCUGGCCAUUCUCCAAAUGGUCUGGGAAUGGGGAAUAUGAGUGGCCAAGACUUCCCCUCCUGUUGGAGUGGUCUGAGUAUCCAGGCAGAAGGAAAGGAGAUAUUUAGCAAGGGGGCGCUUAGAAUGGCAGCCUUGAAGAGGUGCAGGCAGUGCUGACUUGACACUACCUUCACCAUCAGGUGUUGGGCCCCCAGUACGAUACCACAGAGUCUUUAUGCCUUCCUUCUGGAUUCUCUUCUUUCCUCUCCUUACUCAGAUGCCACCUCCAUUGGGAAGUCUUCCUUGAUUACCCCAGAGUUAGUUUCUCCGUCCUUUCUGCUCCUCUCUCUGCAUCCCUAUUAAAUGUGUUAUUGGUCUAUGAUGUUCUGCAUUACAACCUGUGUUUGAUGGCUGGUGACUUCCUGUACAGAGGAGAUUUAGGGACAUGCAUGCUUGAGAAAGACUCCUGUUCUCCACUUGCUUGCUGUGUGACUGUACAAAUUUCUAUUAUCUCUGUAACUCCAUCUGCAACAUGAGGACAAAAAAAUCUACGUCACAAGGCUGCUGUAAGGAGUAAGAUCCAGCUUCCUUCUCUCCACCUCAGCCAUUUACAGUCACUACUAUUGGGAAACUAGGGCUCUGGAGUCAGAUCAGCCUGGGUUUGAAUCCUGGCUCCACCACUUUCCAGCUGUCUUUGGCCCUGUUACAAUCCUUCUGUGCCUCAGUUUUUCAUCUGUAAAAUGGUGGUAACUCCUAUCCCAUAUCUCAUACACUUCUUGGGAGAAUAAACUAGGGUAAUGCACGUAGAUUGCUCAGCAUAGGCCUGGCAACAUUCUGAAAGUUAGCUAUCAUUAUUGGUAGUGUUGUCACUAAAACUGUGAGUUGGUGGAGUCCGAAAUCUCAGCCUAGUAUAGUGCCCAGAGCCCAGUGAGUACUGAGUAUAUAAAAAGGAAAAUGUUUCAUUGUAAACUGGGAACCAUGAUCCAAAUGUAAUGCUCAGAAAUGUCACCCCUUGUCAAUUAUGAAUGAUUAGGACAUGAUGCAGGUGACUUGAGCCUGCAUCAGAGACCAUGGGCUUGGGAGAUGCCCAGGGGUGCCUGCCCCUUUGGCUGUCACAGUCUCCAGUUCUUCCAGACUAUGCCAGGUGCAGGUGAGCUGGAGGUAACAGACACUCACCCACUGAUAGCCAGAAGUCUAACCCAGGAGGAAAGAAAACCCAGGGCUGCCAGUUCACACACAGUUGGGAGCACUUGCUAGUGAGUCAUGGUCAAUGGCCAAACAGAUGAGAAGAACCAAGGAAAGGGUUGGCAUUUGCUGGGGUCUGCUGAUUCCCAAGCUCUGGCCUGUGGUGAAGCAGCAGAAAUGUGCCAAGC